ensembl:snoRNA SNORA70 Small nucleolar RNA SNORA70
UUGCAGUCAGUUAUGCCAACUGACCUCUUUUCCCCAUAGGGGUCCAUGCACCAUGGCUGCAAAGAGCAGCCUCCUUGGUGGCUGCUGUCUGUAGGGGUGGCUCUAAGGGGCCUUGGAGACAGCC